CACAAUGGGCGCAAGCCUGAUGGAGCAACACCGCGUGAGUGAAGAAGGGUUUCGGCUCGUAAAGCUCUGUUGUUAAAGAAGAACACGUAUGAGAGUAACUGUUCAUACGUUGACGGUAUUUAACCAGAAAGUCACGGCUAACUACGUGCCAGCAGCCGCGGUAAUACGUAGGUGGCAAGCGUUAUCCGGAUUUAUUGGGCGUAAAGAGAGUGCAGGCGGUUUUCUAAGUCUGAUGUGAAAGCCUUCGGCUUAACCGGAGAAGUGCA
rnacentral:rRNA from 1 species